AAGGCGAUUUCGAGAGUUAGAAGUCAGGUUUUGGACACGACCUAUUCUAGCAUAUAGAGUGAAUUCUAGUAUUCUUUAAAAGAAAAAAUGGUACAUUGAAAACGUGUUUCAAAAUAUUAUGGCUUAGCUGAAGUGUGAUCUGAUGUGAUUCGUUCGCGUAGUUGCGCACGUAACGAGCUCCUGUUUAGCUUGCGACUUCUCGGUGGCGUGAGGGACGGCACGCGCUGGCUGCUCGAAGGCAAAGACGGUGCAGUGGAUCGAGCGCUGCCGUCCAGCGCGCGGCGCACUGCAAUAUCUACAGCGAGAAGGGCGGACUGCUACGCCAUGCAUCACGUGUUUGCCAAGAUCAACAACUCAAACCGCGCAAGGCAGCGCAAGGUCCUGUACCGAAUCUGUGUAUGAGUGUGCGUGGCUGACGCCGCUUGUGCAAGGCGCAUGAAAUCGUGUACGGGUUCGGCCCAGAAGCACGGCGACUGGUACCAACAAGGCUCUUGAGAUCACUCAAGUCUGCAGUUCACACAAGGGCCAAACAUAUAGAAUGGCUGCCAACCCACUCUUUCAAGGUUCAUUAAAUUUGGUGAUUAAUUACAGCAAUGUCAGGAAGACCAAGGCAAUGUUUGAUGCUUGUCAAGGGAAUAACAGGUGCUAUGCACAGAAAAAUACAACAUAUCUAAGUAAGGAUUGGGUUGCAGUGGCCAUUCUUGGGUAUUUUGCCAAGAGGUGGUGCAUGGCCAGACCUCAAGUAAAUUGGUCUCGUUCCUCACCCUGUGUCCCACAAGCUAGCCCCAAGAAACAUGUUAGCUGUCAUGCCAUUAAGUGGCGCUACCCAUCAGCUGACAUUAUAUGUGCAGGUUUUAUUGCGUGAUCAUGCAGAACAGGUGUGCGCUCGCUAACACUAUGUUGUCUGUCAGUGUUAAUAUUGCUGGAGCUGGAACCCGGUGCACAUAUAAUGUACCACGAUAUCUCGAGAGCUAGCCCACUGCGUGAAAAGGAGGUUGGCCUAACUUUCGGUGUGUAAUCAAGAAAAGUUGAGAAAAGAAAGGACAUUGUUGCCAAAGGUUGUGAAGGUUUGUUAAUAUGCCCUUGUUCAGUUUUCCUCAAAACCUUCAACAGAACAGUCACUUUCAAUGUCAAACAACAUGUCGAUGACCUUGUCACGCACAUGGUCGGACGUGGUCGGUAGGAGCUGGA